UAAUUGACCGAAAUAUAGAUUUUGACACCACUGUUCCAAAAGUACUAUCAGGACUGUCAGGCGCGAUCGAUAAUCUAGUAUUUCGAUAUUCCUAGUUCUUUUUCGAUCAUAACAAAAUUAAUGAGUAUCUUUAACAGUUUUCGAUGAUGUGUCUCGAAUCUAUUAUUUUUUGAACAGGAACAAUAGCAAAACACGACCAGAUGGCGAGAACAUCAAGUACUAUAUAUUGUCCAUUGUUGUCUAUACAAUCUGGCAGACGUGAAUUUAGAGCGUGACUGAUGAACGAGAGCGAUAAUAAAAGAACUGACGAUAAUUCGAGUCAAAUUUUUAUUAAUCCUUUCUGUAUAAAGCUAAUUUGCUUCUAAAAAAAAACUUGAUACGAAUGAAUUUAAUAUAUUGAUAGAUAUGACAAGUAAUACAUAAAAAAUAAAUAUUAUAAAUAUAAUUAUAUUACAGAACGAAUUUGAAGUUCAAAGAAAACGCGAACUGAUUCCAGAUGUUAACUGGUUCGGUUUAUACUUACUUUUAGACUAAAUCAAUUGCAGCUAUUGACAACAGUUAUAUAACAAAUCAGUGGAGCUAUAACUAGAUCUUGAUGAGAACAAUGAUAUGUGGUUACUAAAUUCUACUUUGUCGAUUUUAUUCUAAAAGAUUCUUUUGGACAAAGGCACUGGUUGUUAUUACUAUGAAUCCAGUUUUAUGCAGAAAGAAAAGUGGACUCUCUCUCUUUUUCUUUCUCUUUUAUUAUUACCAUCUAUGACUCAGGCGAAUCUCAACAAAUGCCAUCUAUGACUCAACAAAUCGAUAAUUUCAAUUUGAUUUCAAUAAAAGAAAAAACGAGUUACAAUAAGCGUUGCGAUGUGGCGAUGAAUUUAAAAUGGAUUAUUUAUUAAUCAAUUUUAUUGUUGUAUUGUUGUAUUGUUAUAUCGUUCAUGGACAUAUUUCACCACAAUUACUGAGGCGGUGUAAAUACAUCUUCCCAAAGCAAAUAUUACAUCAAGAUCAUCGGUAAAGCUGUAAAAAUAAAACGUGUGGUAAUAUUUUCAAAGGCGUUGUUGAUACAGAAUCGACCAGCACUGAUAAGCUUUGUAUACGUGUGAAAACAUGGGAUACCAGGAAUCAAAUCCAUGAAAUUUUGCAGCGUCCUUUGAAGUAAAAUGAAAACAAAUAGGCAAAGCAGCAAUCACAGAAGGAUGUUCAAAUUUGCGAAAUAGAUUAGUAUGAAAAAAAUUGCGUUUUGAAGAGGUUGAUGCACCAAUAAUACCUUCGUUGGAUGUACUCCGACAUGCUAAAAAUGAAGCCAUUGAUGAAUUAAGUUUCAAAAAACUGAAAGACGAAGGUGUAAUUCAAGCAAUUUAUCGUUUAAAUUUCGAAAACCUUUAUAAAAGUUCUAUUGCUGUAAUUGAUUGGCGUUAUUGCAGGCUGUCCAGGUCAUUUUAUUGCUUAUUGCAGAUGACUUUCAGGAUUACGAGAUGUUUGUGAUAUGAAUGGACAUCUGUGCCCUUUUGAUGCAGGAGACUCAUAGAGAAAAAUGUAUUGUUGUAUUUUUCUGGAUAUAUGAAAGCUAUCUUUGAAGAAAAUUCGUCACCUAAAGGAGAUAUAUCAACAAAAGAUAUGGGGCCGAUAAACGAAUGGUAUGUUACUGGAUGGAGGAGAAUUGGUAUUAGUAUUGCAUGUCCGGAAUAUAUUUUGAUGGAACUGUUUGAAACUUAUGUGCCAUUUAUGGAUGUUGUUAAAGAGAAGCUAUAUGAGUAAAUUAGUUAUAGAAUUUUUGUUACAUGAAAUUAAUCCAACUUAUGAAGACUUGCUGAAUAAACUUCAAAUGAGUUUGCUGUUUCAUAUUUUAAUAUGUAUUUUGUGCUUCGACAUUUUUUUUGUUUGUUUUAUUGUUUUUGUUAUAUUUUUAUAUUAUAGUCGAUAGUACCUCCUAAGGAACGGUGACAUUUAUAGAAGAUAUUGUACAUUGUUAUGACAUAAUUUAUUUGUGAUCGAGUUUUGUUAUUAGAUAAUUGUGCUGGUGCUGAAGAUACUCUUCUUAUUACGGCUCCGUGUAUGCAAGAGAUCGCAUGUGAUGAUCGUAUCACGCUGGGUAGAAAUCUGUUGAUAGCAAAUUACUCCAUCGCUCGCUAAGGAUGUCCGGAUGUGGCGACAUGUGUAUUGAGUCGCCCUUCUAUACUAUCUGAAUCACGCAUGUUACUCUUUUUACCUCUCCUGUCAAUCAUCUUGUCUUCUCUGUACUAAGCGCGCCUUUUUAUUUUCUACUUCUUGUGACGGAUAAAGAGCGAGCACUUCCAAUAA
rnacentral:lncRNA from 1 species